AACGAACGCUGGCGGCGUGCCUAACACAUGCAAGUCGAGCGCGAAAGGGCAACCUGAGUAGAGCGGCGCACGGGUGCGUAACACGUGGGUAAUCUGCCUCAAUGUCUGGGAUAACCUUCCGAAAGGUUGGCUAAUACCGGAUAAGCUCUCGGGGUCUUCGGACUCUGCGGGAAAAGGUAGGCCUCUAUUUAUAAGCCAUCACAUUGAGAUGAGCCCGCGG
rnacentral:rRNA from 1 species